AUGAACGCUGGCGGCGUGCCUAAUACAUCCUAGUCGAGCGAACGGACGAGAAGCUUGCUUCUCUGAUGUUAGCGGCGGACGGGCGAGUAACACGUGGAUAACCUACCUAUAAGACUGGGAUAACUUCGGGAAACCGGACCUAAUACCGGAUAAUAUUUUGAACCGCCUGGUUCAAAAGUGAAAGACGGUCUUGCUGUCACUUAUAGCUGGAUCCGCGCUGCAUUAGCUAGUUGGUAAGGUAACGGCUUACCAAGGCAACGAUGCAUAGCCGACCUGAGAGGGUGAUCGGCCACACUGGAACUGGGACACGGUCCAGACUCCUGCGGGAGGCAGCAGUAGGGAAUCUUCCGCAAAGGGCGAAAGCCUGACGGAGCAACGCCGCGUGAGUGAUGAAGGUCUUCGGAUCGUAAAACUCUGUUAUUAGGGAAGAACAUAUGUGUAAGUAACUGUGCACAUCUUGACGGUACCUAAUCAGAAGGCCACGGCUAACUACGUG
rnacentral:rRNA from 1 species